rnacentral:rRNA from 1 species
AUGGCUCAGACGAACGCUGGCGGCGCGUUUAAGCAUGCAAGUCGAGCGGCAAGGGCCUUCGGGCCCUAGAGCGGCGGACGGGUGAGUAACACGUGGACAAUCUGCCCCCGGCCCGGGAUAGCCCAGGGAAACCUGGAUUAAUACCGGAUGAGACGGGACCCGCGAUGGCGGGAUCCGGGAAAGGCGCUGCGGUGCCGCCGGGGGAUGAGUCUGCGUCCCAUUAGCUAGACGGCGGGGUAACGGCCCACCGUGGCGACGAUGGGUAGCCGGCCUGAGAGGGUGGACGGCCACAUUGGAACUGAGACACGGUCCAGACUCCUACGGGAGGCAGCAGCUAAGAAUCUUCCGCAAUGGGCGAAAGCCUGACGGAGCCGACGCCGCGUGAACGAAGAAGGCCGUGAGGUUGUAAAGUUCUUUUCGGGAGGGGAACAACCGUGGCAGGGAAUGGCCGCGGGAUGACGUGAAUCCCGGAAUAAGCCCCGGCUAACUACGUGCCAGCCGCGGC